AGCCUUCUGUAUCGGUGCUGAGAUUUUGUCACACAGCAGACCACAAGGACUGAUGAGACACAAGAUAAGCGAAGCA
rnacentral:pre_miRNA from 1 species